CCUAGCUUGGAGCUAGGCCACACGCCUCUUUAUUAGAACUCUUAAGUGAGUCAGUAAAAUUCAAUGGCGACAACUAGUAGUUGAAAAUUAUGAACCUUGAAGUCAUGGUGGCAAUCGGUAAAGAGACUAUCACUA
rnacentral:sRNA from 12 species